UUGGGCGUGCCUCCACCCACGCCGGCGUCGGCGGGCGUAUUUCGCCUCACAGUAGGUCGCCGCGACCCGUUGCUUUUGGGGACGUCGAAGGCCCGGACGGAUUGGUACCCUACCGGCUGGGGAUGCGGCUUCGGCUUCUCCUCUUGUCCGGUGGGCGAAACCGCCGGUGUCCUGGCUGCCCUGCGACGGUCGUAGAGACGAGCCCUCCCCUUCGGGGGGGCGGCUCUCGCGGCGUGCAAAAGGUCGGUGAUCCACCCGACCCGUCUUGAAACACGGACCAAGGAGUCUAACAUGUGUGCGAGUCAGUGGGCGCACUAAACCCAGAGGCGUAAUGAAAGUGACACGGGCUCGGCUGUCGCCUCGUGUGGCAGCCGGACUCAGGGCCGAUCCCUCACCGGUUGUCCUCGCCUCUCUCCCGCGUCUCGGUAAGCCGGGUGAGCUAUUUUCCCCGGCCGCUGCUGCGGGGCUCGGGGGAAGGCGGGGUGCGAUGGUGUCUGUAAAAAAGAGCCUGCUGUUGCAGGGGGGCGCAGGCCCGGGACUUGCCAGGACGCCGCGAGACUGUCACUUUGCUGUGAGGCUCUCGGGCCGAUCAGCGGGUCAUGCGUGCAGUCGGCAAGUACCAUGAGCAGACAUGUUGGGACCCGAAAGAUGGUGAACUAUGCCUGGCCAGGAUGAAGCCAGAGGAAACUCUGGUGGAGGUCCGUA
rnacentral:rRNA from 1 species